rnacentral:rRNA from 1 species
UUUAUGACUGAACGCCUCUAAGUCAGAAUCCUGCCUAGACGCGCGGAUACCGAAGCGCUGCUAUACUUUGGCUGGUCUCUGAUACCCGGCUCCGGCCGGUGCGGAGAGCCGUAACGUGACUGGGAGUGGGUGCGGCUGAACUCGGCCGCACCUACGUCGUUCGCACACCACAUCUGCUCGUUGUGCGGUGCUAAAGGACUUGCAGACGACCUGAUUCUGGGUCGGGGUUUCAUGAGUAGCAGAGCAGCCCCUCGCUGCGAUCUAUUGAAAGUCAA